GAGAGUUUCCAUUUCCUCUGACUAAUCUAAGUUCCAUUUCUUGGCAGAAGCCUUGCCCCUUUCCACUUCACCACCCAUUCCCGCCUAGCGACAACCAGGCCAUUGACAAUGCAAUACGUCAACCUGCCCGCCUUAUUCCCGCCAAUAGCAGGAUCCCACGAAGGGAGCGUUGCCCCUUUGAAUUCUGAGGCCUGAUCAGUUCGUGCCAGUCCUCGAACGAACCUAUGGUUGCAUGGCUGCUGUCCCCAUUUGAGCGGGCCGGCAGCCAUCUCCAAUAAGUCUCUUGGUUGAACCUCAGUUUCCAGUGUGAUGGAUCUGCUUUCAUUGUGCCUUGACUCAGAUGGGGCUGCCCUGCCUUUAAGCGGGACCCCUAUCCCGCCGGAGAUCACCACCUGAGCGGAGAGCACCUUCUUCACAUCCACAAUCGGCCUACAAAUGGCCUGUAUCAUAAAAUUCCUACAAAAUCAAAUAGGCAGAAUAUCUAAUCAGACCUUUAACCAGCUUCUCCGGGAUUACCAGCUACUUGCUGCCUCAGAAGACACCUAUUCCUCAUGUGAAGGCCUCACCAACUGCUGACGGAACUCUAUCACUUUGAAUAUGGAGCUACAAAAUGGAAACACGACUGGAGGAACUUCAUUAGCCUGUCACCCAGGAUUUCUAGGCCCAUUCGCCCUCGGUUGCCUCCUCCUGACCGCUGGCCUUUUCUCAGCCAAUCCCUCUGCUGGACCUCCUGCCAGAAGCUAAUGUUGUGUCUCCUCUUUCUUCUCCUUCUCGUUGCCUUCGGGUGUCUUCGGUGUCUUUAGGCUCAUCAUGUGGCUCACCUGGUUUGUGGAGUUCGUGGAGACCCUCCGACAGGACAGCUGGCUGAUUCCCCCAUUUGCAGUGACGAGGAUUGGAUGGAGACUCUCCAUGAUCUGUGGCUUCAGGGAACUUUCAUGGAUUUCAGCCCAGAGGAAAUUUAUGGCUUCGGUGCCUGGGUCUUCACGAUGAUGCUUCUUCUCUGUCCGUUUUCAGACAUCCCUCCCCUUCUUUUCCCACAUCUUACCACCUCAGCAGGAAGUAGCCAGACUAAGUCAGCGCCCCCAUCCCCAAUUUAAAGCAAAAUAGGGAGGAAUGUUAGGUACGAGGGAGUUUCCAUUUCCCAGCAGAAGCCUUGCCCCUUCACGCUCCACCACCCAUUCCCGCCUAGUGACAACCAGGCCAUUAACAACACAGUAUGUCACCCUCCCCACCUUCCACCCACCAAAAGCGUUGCCCCUUUGAAUUCUCAGGCCUGAUCAGCUUGUGCCCGUUCUCUAACGGACCUACCUCACCCAGUGCUGAUGGGUGCGCGGCUGCUGUCCCCACUCGAGCAGGUGGGCAGCCAUUUCAUUGCUUCCAAUAAAUCUCAUGGUUGAACCUCUA